CCUACGGGGAGCAGCAGUGGGGAAUAUUGCACAAUGGGCGCAAGCCUGAUGCAGCGACGCCGCGUGCGGGCUGGAGGCCUUCGGGUUGUAAACCGCUUUUGUUCAAUGGCCAGGCCCGGUCUUUGGCCGUGUUGAGUGGAUUGUUCGAAUAAGCACCGGCUAACUACGUGCUAGCAGCCGCGGUUAUACGUAGGGUUCAAGCGUUCUCCGGAUUUAUUGGGCGUAAAGGGCUCGUAGGCGGGUCGUCGCGUCCGGUGUGAAAGUCCAUCGCUUAACGGUGGAUCCGUGCCGGGUACGGGCGGGUGUGAGGGCGGUAGGGGAGACUGGAAUUCCCGGUGUAACGGUGGCAUGUG
rnacentral:rRNA from 1 species